AUGUAAAGUGGACUUUAUUUUAUAUGGUCGGUUAUGUGAUGUGUUUGGGUAACCAUAAAAAGCUGAUCUGAUAUUCAGUCGUGUUUUUUGAUAUUUUGUAAUCGAGUACCUUUUUAAAGGUCUAAUGGCUCCCAUCAGGUGUUGUGUGCAGACGGUGGAAAAAUUCAACGAGUAAACAUAUAUUUAAUCCAAAUUAAAUACUCAUAUUUAUAUGUAAAAUGUCACAUUAUUGUAUAAAUAAAUAAUUAAGAAACAAAA